rnacentral:rRNA from 1 species
CCAAGGCUUAAAUGCAGACUGACCGAUUUGGAAACAGNUCUUUNGCAAGACAGUUUACAAGGUGCUGCAUGGUUGUCGUCAGCUCGUGCCGUGAGGUGUCAGGUUAAGUCCUAUAACGAGCGCAACCCCUGUUGUUAGUUGCCAACGAGUCAUGUCGGGAACUCUAACAAGACUGCCAGUGCAAACUGUGAGGAAGGUGGGGAUGACGUCAAAUCAUCACGGCCCUUACGCCUUGGGCUACACACGUGCUACAAUGGCCGGUACAGAGAGCAGCCACUGGGUGACCAGGAGCGAAUCUAUAAAGCCGGUCACAGUUCGGAUCGGAGUCUGCCAACUCGACUCCCUUGAAAGCNUGGAAUCGCUAGUAAUCGGGAUAUCAAGCCAUGAUCNCGGUGAAUAACGUUCCCGGGCCUUGNACACACCCGCCCGUCAAGCCAUGGAAAGCUGGGGGGUGCCUGAANUCCGGNGACCCGCAAAGGAGCU